CCAGGCUGCGACAGACAGACCGUGAUAGAGCUGCUGAUGGCAAACUGCACAGCACAUGAGGGCCAUCUGUGCGGCCCCGAUAACACCACUGUGCCUGGGUAUAGGAACAGCACUGCAACAACAUCACUACAGUGAGGCUGGAGAUAAUAUGGCCAUGCUACAUUUAUGGUACCAUUCCUCAACAAGCUGCUAAUGACCUGCACUAAACACAGCAAAGCCAGCGGGAGACUGCUUCAGGGCAGGCUCAUAAAAACCGGACCAUGAAGACAGGGAUUUCAACAAUAUGUGGUUUAGUACAAGACAUUUCAACAAGACAAAUGGGGGUCCUGUUAGCAAAAGAGUUUGAAUUCCUCUAAACAUCUCAAGCUGGGACAGGGUAUUUAACUAAAAGGAUGAAUCCCACUCCUCCUAAUGAUGCUCAGUGAUGAGAUGACAGGACAUACAGAUCAUCAGCACACAAUCUGACAUUAUCAGAACAGUCAGGACUCCUUCACUUAGGUCUUGACAUCUUCCAGACUAUAGAGAUGCUAACAGCUUUCCUAACAUGUCAGUAAGAGUACCUUUAAGACUAGAGAUGCUAACAGCUUUCCUAACAUGUCAGUAAGAGUACCUUUAAGACUAGAGAUGCUAACAGCUUUCCUAAAAUGUCAGUAAGAGUACCUUUAAGACUAGAGAUGCUAACAGCUUUCCUAAAAUGUCAGUAAGAGUACCUUUAAGACUAGAGAUGCUAACAGCUUUCCUAAAAUGUCAGUAAGAGUACCUUUAAGACUAGAGAUGCUAACAGCUUUCCUAACAUGUCUGUAAGAAUACCUUUAAGACUAGAGAUGUUAACAGAUUUCCUAACAUGUCUGU